rnacentral:rRNA from 1 species
AGCUCGUAGUUGGAUUUCUGGGUGGGAGUGGCCGGUCCGCCGUAAGGUGUGUACUUGGUUGUCUCCCGUCAUCCUUGUGGGAACUGCUCUGGCAUUAAGUUGUCGGGGUUAGGGAACACAUCGUUUACUGUGAAAAAAUUAGAGUGUUUAAAGCAGGCUUAUGCCGUUGAAUACAUUAGCAUGGAAUAAUAAGAUAGGACUUUGGCGUCUAUUUUGUUGGUUUGCACACCAAGGUAAUGAUUAAUAGGGAUAGUUGGGGGUAUUCGUAUUUAAUUGUC